CGUAGUGACCUGCGGAAGGAUCAUUG
rnacentral:rRNA from 1 species